GGGGGGGGGGGGGGGCAUGUUUAAGGGGCUAUAAGAAUAAUUAUUAAACUGUCCUGUAAAUCAAGUGAGCUACCAGAUGAAGAUAAUUAGAAACUAAACAAGGGCGUCUGCUGCACAUCAUCUAGAGCGUCUACGUCAAUGCACCGGUGUGAACGAGUGUUUGAACACGCGCGUGUGAAUCGACUGGAUCUCAUCCAGGAUGUGUUCCCGCAUCACGCCCAGUGCUCCUGGAAUAGAUCCACUACAACCGUGACCAAGAUCUUACUGAAGAUGAAUCAACGAUGGAUCGUUUCCAUGCCCUUGGAACAAUCAUGAUCACAUCGAUUAAUUAUCGGAGGACGACAUGGCAACUGGAACCUUUUAGCCACGGAACUUAGCGUGCUAAGCUUGCUAGCUAACUUAACUAGCUAAAAAUCACAUGUGUUCUGCUAUAUUUUGACACGCUGACUACUUUUAAAUGCUGAUAAACUGAUAGUAUAAGGUACUGAAAUCCCUAUUGUGUAUACUUGGGACAAAAACAAAGGUACUGAAUAUUUUGAUGAACAAAAUAUAUAUAAAAUCACUGUCAAUGUAAUCAGGGCUUAAAAAAUGUAAAUCAUACAUGUGCAAACUAGUGCGUUAGCAGUUGACUAGCCGGCUAGCGACCGCACUUGGGAUUGCGGCACUUCUAAUUUGCAUAUCAUGCAUAAUUCAAAGACUCGGGAUAAAGAUGUUUUUGGGUAAAGAUUUUCCCCAAGCUAUUUUAGUUUCUUGACAGGGUAAACAAUUUAUUUCACAUAUACAACUACACUUUUUUGGCAGGGCCCGCCCCCCCACCACACUAAUAUAGCAAAAACUUGAACACAACACAAUACAGUGUGAAGAAAAGAAUCCGACUCUCUCCUCUCGGCUCGGAUCUGCAGCAGAGCCAGCUUUCAAUCAAAGUACACGCCACGUCGCUGAUCAGAAACUAACACAGAACCAAACAGUCCAAUUCGAUGAAUCCAAAGAAGCUCCGCCUACUAGCCACUAUCGGAGAUGCUGUGUGACCGACUCAGCCAGGGUGAUCAGGUGACUCUUCCUGGCGUAUAGGAGUGUGUAACCGGCUAAUGCCUGGAAUGAGUGCGAGAUCUUUAGCCCUCAUGCACACUGUAUAGAAACCCACAUGAAUCAUACAGACACAGUCAGUUUUCUAUUAUAAGCGAGUGCUGUGUGUAUAAUAAAAAAAAAAAAAAUUUUUUGGA